UCGAAUUCUAACCAUGCUUUGAUUUGUUUUUCGAGGCAUGGCUUGGAGUUGGGAGUUUGCUGGCGACGAAUCGGUCGUCGGCUCUCCUUAAAUGCAUUAGCAAUGGGUGGGGCAAGUCUUUUCGACGUGCACGGCCUUUGACGUGAUAAUGAUCGUUGUGGCUGGAGCGUUUUGGGACAUGCAUGAAAUCUGUCCAUGCUUCCAAUCACCCCCUAGCUUAGGUCUGCUUGGUUAUUAGUCGGUCGUGAGGCUGGCGAACGUUGGGCAGGGACUGGCUUUUGUUUUCGAAAC
rnacentral:rRNA from 1 species